AGAGUUUGAUCAUGGCUCAGAUUGAACGCUGGCGGUAUGCUUAACACAUGCAAGUCGAACGGUAACAUAACUAGCUUGCUAGUUGAUGACGAGUGGCGGACGGGUGAGUAACGCGUAGGAAUUUACCUUUCGGUGGGGGAUAGCCCGGUGAAAACCGGAUUAAUACCGCAUAAGCCCUACGGGGGAAACGAGGCCACUUCUUGAAAGCUUCGACCGAUAGGAGCCUAUGUCCGAUUAGCUUGUUGGUGGGGUAAAGGCCUACCAAGGCGACGAUCUUUAGCUGGUCUGAGAGGAUGAUCAGCCACACUGGGACUGAGACACGGCCCAGACUCCUACGGGAGGCAGCAGUGGGGAAUAUUGGACAAUGGGCGCAAGCCUGAUCCAGCAAUGCCGCGUGCGUGAAGAAGGCCUGCGGGUUGUAAAGCACUUUCAGUAGGGAAGAAAUGCUCGGGGUUAAUAACUCCGGGUCUUGACGUUACCUACAGAAGAAGCACCGGCUAAUUCAGUGCCAGCAGCCGCGGUAAUACUGAAGGUGCAUGCGUUAAUCGGAAUUACUGGGCGUAAAGCGCGCGUAGGCGGCUUGGUCAGUCAGAUGUGAAAGCCCUGGGCUCAACCUGGGAACUGCAUUUAGAACUGGAAGGCUAGAGUAUGGUAGAGGAGUGUGGAAUUUCAGGUGUAGCGGUGAAAUGCGUAGAGAUCUGAAGGAACAUCAGUGGCGAAGGCGACACUCUGGACCAAUACUGACGCUGAGGUGCGAAAGCGUGGGUAGCAAACAGGAUUAGAUACCCUGGUAGUCCACGCCGUAAACGAUGUCUACUAGCCGUUGGGGUUCCUUGAGGACUUAGUGGCGCAGCUAACGCAUUAAGUAGACCGCCUGGGGAGUUCGGCCGCAAGGUUAAAACUCAAAUGAAUUGACGGGGGCCCGCACAAGCGGUGGAGCAUGUGGUUUAAUUCGAUGCAACGCGAAGAACCUUACCAGGUCUUGACAUCCUACUAAGUUUCCAGAGAUGGAUUCGUGCCUUCGGGAAAGUAGAGACAGGUGCUGCAUGGCUGUCGUCGACUCGUGGCGUUAGAUGUUGGGUUAAGUCCCGUAACGAGCGCAACCCGUAGCCUUAUUUGCCAGCACUUCGGUUGGGAACUCUAAGGAGACUGCCGGUGACAAACCGGAGGAAGGCGGGGACGACGUCAAGUCAUCAUGGCCCUUACGACCUGGGCUACACACGUGCUACAACGGCCGGUACAAAGGGCAGCAAUACCGCGAGGUGGAGCAAAUCUCAGAAAACCGGUCGUAGUCCGGAUUGGAGUCUGCAACUCGACUCCAUGAAGUCGGAAUCGCUAGUAAUCGCGAAUCAGAAUGUCGCGGUGAAUACGUUCCCGGGCCUUGUACACACCGCCCGUCACAUCAUGGGAGUGGGCUGCAAAAGAAGUGGCUAGUCUAACCUUCGGGAGGACGGUCACCACUUUGUGGUUCAUGACUGGGAUGAAGUCGUAACAAGGUAGCCGUAGGGGAACCUGCGGCUUGAUCACCUC
rnacentral:rRNA from 1 species